rnacentral:lncRNA from 1 species
GUGACAAGAAGAAUAAGCUACAGAAGGAGAAGGCGCUCCAGUGGGACUUCCAGAUCCAGGUGCUGGACCUGAUCGAGGUGCUGGUGACCAGGCAGCCUGAGAACCCUCUGAUUCUGGAGCUGCUUGAGCCGCUGCUGAACAUCAUCAGGAGCAGCAUGCGCAGCAGCAGCAGCAAACAGGAGCAGGACCUUCUGCACAAGACGGCCCGUAUCUUCAUGCAGCACUUGUGCCGUGCCCGACACUACUGUCACAACGUGGGCCACUGCGCAGCGGCACUGCACACCCAGGUGGAGUGACUGGUGCGGCAGGCCGGCCAGCAGGCUGACUCCUCUGUCGCCCUCUAUUACUUUAAUGCCUCGCUCUACCUGCUGUGCGUCUUAAAGGGCAAUGCCACCAAGAAGCACAUGCUGGAGAGCCAACAGUGCCAGGGAGCCGGUCCCAACCAUGGCCCUGAGGACACAAGCCCUCAGGUGAGUGGGGCCUGGUCCCUGAGGGCUAGAAGAAGAACCAAGCCCCAGCCCUUGGCCUUUGGCAGGCACCUGGGCCUGCCCCAAGUCUCACCCCAUCUCUCGCACCUGCCCUAGACUGCCAGCUGCCUGGACCUGGACCUCGUGACUCCAGUGUACUUGGCAGCGCUGAGCUCCUUCCUGACCAAGCGCAACAGCCCCCUCACUGUCCCCAUGUUCCUCAGCCUCUUCUCCCGGUACCCGGUGAUCUGUAAGAAUCUGCUCCCCGUCCUGGUCCAGCGCAUGGCUGGCUCAACACGGGCCCGCCAGCAGGCCCAGGCCUGCCUGCUGCUCCAGAAGACCCUGUCUGCACGGGAGCUGAGGGGAUGUUUUGAGGACCCUGAGUGGGAGCAGCUGAUUGGCCAGGUCCUGGCGAAGGUCACGGAGAACCUGUGCACACUGGGGGAGGCGCAGAGCCGGUCAGAGCACCAGAAGCAGCUGUCCUCCCUGGAGUUGCUCAACACUCUGUUCAAGAUGAUCCAUCAUGAGAAGUUGACUGUGGACCUGACCACUCUCCUGGGUGUGCUGCGGGGCCAACAGCAGAGCCUGCAGCAGAGCCUACAACAGGGGGAGCACUCAUCUGGCUCCAGCCGCCUCUACGACCUAUACUGGCAGGCCAUGAAGAUGCUCGGAGUCCAGCGCCCCAAGGUAGAGAAGAAGGACACCAAAGCAGUCCCCAAUGUCUCUGAGAGCCCCAUUAGCAUGAAGCGGAAGAAAAAAGGGUUCUUGCCAGAGACCAAAAAGCGUAAGAAACGCAAGUUGGAGGAGGCCACACCAGAAGAGGGGGCCACGCCAAAGGGAGCCACUCCUGUAGCCACUGGUGGUGAUGGUGACCAGCCACCCAACACAGGCAAGAAGAGAAAAAGGAUGAAGGCCAAGGUCCUAGCCCAGCCCCAAGGGGAUGGGACCCCUGCUGCCAAGAGCCCAGGCCCUGACACCCUCACCUUGAGCCCCAGCACCCCUGCCAAGACUCCAGAGCUCCAGAAGAAAAGCAGAAAGCUGUCGCAGGUGAAUGGGAACACCCCAGUGUCCCCCACAGAGCCUUCAGGCGAAAAGCAACAUCUGAAAUCUCUUUCCGCCAGUCCCAGUCCAGCAGCCCUUGACAGUCCUGUUUUUUCACCACAAUUUUAA